rnacentral:lncRNA from 1 species
UCAAAGAGAUAUAAAAAUAUAUAUCCUAAUUGAAGUUUGAUAAAAUUUUAAUGUAACUCUCAAUAAACCAUAAUAAAAUCCUAAAUCAAUCCUAAUCAAACUUUAAAGUAAAUCUUAAUGAAAUCUUUAUAAAAUACUAUCCAAAUCUUUAUUAAAUCCUAAUUACAUCCUAUUCAAAUUCUAAUCAAAUCCUAUAUUCUAAUCAAAUCUUAAAUCCUAAUCAAAUCCUAAAUCAAAUAUUAAAAAAAUUCUAAUUAAAUCCUAACCGAUUCUAAUCAAAUCCUAAAUCAAAUACUAAGAAAAUCCUAAUCAAAUCCUAAUCAAAUCCUAAAUCCUAGACCAAUCUUAAUCAAAUUCUAGCGAAAUCCUAAAUCCUAAUCAAAUCCUAAAAAAAUUCUAAUAAAAUCAUAAAUUCUAAUCUUUGAUCAAAUCCUAAAUCAAAUCCUAAAUCAAAUCCUAAAAAAACUUAAUCAAAUAUUAGAUCCUAAAUAAAUCCUAAUAAAUCCUUAAUCAAAUUUUAAAUCUUAAAUAAAUUCUUAAUAAAUUCUA